UACGUAGGGGGCAAGCGUUGUCCGGAUUUAUUGGGCGUAAAGAGCGUGUAGGCGGUUUGGUAGGUCCGUUGUGAAAACUCGAGGCUCAACCUCGAGACGCCGAUGGAAACCAUCAGACUAGAGUCCGGAAGAGGAGAGUGGAAUUCCUGGUGUAGCGGUGAAAUGCGCAGAUAUCAGGAGGAACACCUGCGGUGUAGACGGCUUUCUGGACCAUUGUUGACGCUGAGACACGAAAGCGUGGGUAGCAAACAGG
rnacentral:rRNA from 1 species